AUACACAUUUUUUUCUGCUUCUACAUGUAGCUAAAAUUUUCAGAACUGAUUUUCAACUUCUAUAUCAGAAUCACCAAGGAGUAUAGACAUGAGAUGGCAGAAAGGGUAAAAAAGAUUGCAGAGAACUCGAAAGAUGUGAUGCGACAUAUUCGUUCCAAGUAUGUCAAAAAGCUGGAUUCUUCAAGGGACAUGAUGUCAGAAGAUUCUUAUUUUGAAUAUUCAAAAAAAAUAGAUGCUAAAACGAAGCUCUAUGUUGACAAGAUUGCUACUCUAGCAGCGAAGAGGAGUAAAGAAAUCAAUGCAUAACAGAACAUUUUAUACAAUCAUAUUUACAAUUAAAUGAAAUGAAUAUA